rnacentral:rRNA from 1 species
UACGUAGGUGGCAAGCGUUUGUUCGGAUUCAUUGGGCGUAAAGGGUGCGUAGGCGGCGCGGUAAGUCGGGUGUGAAAUCUCGGAGCUUAACUCCGAAACUGCAUUCGAUACUGCCGUGCUUGAGGACUGGAGAGGAGACUGGAAUUUACGGGUGUAGCGGUGAAAUGCGUAGAUAUCGUAAGGAAGACCAGUGGCGAAGGCGGGUCUCUGGACAGUUCCUGACGCUGAGGCACGAAGGCCAGGGGAGCAAACGGGG